AAUGAAUGGUGGAGGUAGUGAUGUACCCAGAAAUCAGAGACUACAGGAAGUAGUCCUAACUCUGCCCAUUCGGUCACUGAAGGAGACUGUGGUCUUGUGUGUUCCUACCACAGGAGCCUGUGUUGUAAGACUCUGCUUGAAUCUGCUGUUACUAUUGUUGGGAGAAUAAUAAACAAAUCGACUCUAUCAUCUUCUAAUCUCAUACAAGAACCUCUCAGUGAAAGAAUCUGAACCUAGAAUCCUGCUGGCAAUGGACUCUGAGAAAUGUAGUUUCUGUGCUUCUAGCCCCUUCGGUACAGGAGCUGUGGAGUCCAACUGUGACUGCCAAGAAGGAUCCAAAAAGCCAGAAAGCCCGAACAUGUCAGACCUUCCUGCCACCCGCCCCACACACUUCAAACCCAGAGGAAAUGAGUGAGGAUCGACGGCAGGAAGCGAGCCAACCAGGUGAGGAAAUUGAAGUUUCAUUCAAGAGCAGAUAGUUGGUGAAAGAAAGAAGAAAGAGAACAGCCUCCAGCUCAGAUCCCUCUUUCUAUGCUCAGGAACCACCAGAAAUGCUACUGUAUUGGACCUCAUCUUGUUUCCCUCUGGAAAAUGCAUGUGUGCUCUGUUUGCAAUGGAAUUGUUAUUUUAAUGAAUGUGCUACAUUCUGCUGGGGAACCAUUUCUGGAGUCUUUGCAGAGGAUUCAGUGUCCAUCACCAAUAUUUUUUGGAAUCCUGGCCUGAAGUCUCUUCUGUCAUCCCAAAGAUUAAAAAAAGGAUUAAAGCCACAGCAGGAGCCUCACCUCUCCGGCACUCCAUCAGUUUGGAGGACCUGCUUCCAUGUUUCCACUAUUGAUGGGGAAUUAGUGGCAGUGCUUUUCUUUCCAAUGUUACUAUUCCAUCAGAAGACUAGCCCAGAACCCCAUAAGGGGCUCCUGGAUAAAAUUCACCUUGACACUACUGACAAUUUGCCCAAUUCUGUCAUUGACAUUUGUAGCCCUCUGGAUCGAUUCCCUUCCUUCUUUGAAGAAUUUAAUACUUGCUUCACCAUCUCUCCCUCAAAUGUUACCUUGUUGAUAAUUCUUAAUGAUUAAAUAUCCACAUUGUGCAACCAGAAGUGCUCACCAAAUAUUCCAGGCACUGCCUACACUUGGUGCAGAUGCCACCUGUUAAGAUGCAGCGCCAAUAAUGGAAAGCAGCCUGGAUCCCUAAGUCACUGAAUGGAGAGUGUAGGCUUAUAGAAUCCCUGAGCUGCAAUUUUGCAGGCAUUAGAAAUUGGACUCUCCAAAUUGUAUAAGAUUGGGCCCCACAAAACCUGGAUCUGCCUCUGUCUCUAAGCAUAAUUUUACUUGAACAUGUCCCAUCAUAUUGCUGAAUCCCAAACAAAGAGCUCUUUGAUAAGGGAAUACAAGAAUGAAUUAAAGAAUGUCUUAGAACUAAUCCAAGGAAGAACACUCAAAUUCCUACUUGCAGAGGACGCAAAUGCUGAAUCAGAUGGGGCUGUGGAGCCUGGGGAGGAAAUCGUGAAUAGUUGGUCCAGAUUGAGUAUCAUUAUCCUCCUGUUGUCUAGGAAGAUAAUUGUUAUAAUUAGCAAUAAAUGUCAAGGGCAACUAUAAUUUACCUUUCCGUGUCACAACUGAUAGUUUACCUUUUUCAAUGCCUUCUUCUACCUGCCCACCAUGUCACACUUCCCACCCUUCUAGCACAGUCAAACAUAGACUAAAAUAUCUGUCUUAUAGUAUUUCUAUAUCAGUGUAUACUUACAGCAAUAAUGUGACUAUUGAUUUUUAAAAUGUCAUUAGGGACCACUCAUCCAAAUUCUGGGGUCUUUUAUUAAAAUGAAAAUUCCUACAAGGAGGAGCUAGAACCUAUGGGUUUGCAUAAUGGGCAUGUUGGAGGGAUUCUUAGAGAUGUUUUAGGACUAUAUCUUAUUAGAGAAAUUCUAAAUGUAGUGCAAAGGGGGGUUUAUUAUUCUGUAGCACAAUUCCUUUUAAAUGCAAUUUAAUAUCCCUUGGAUUUUAUUUGUGGUAUAAUUUUGAAAAUUCCAUUUUGAAUUUAUGAUUAUAAUUCAG